rnacentral:rRNA from 1 species
GACGAACGCUGGCGGCGUGCUUAACACAUGCAAGUCGAACGGAAAGGCCCUGAUUUUGUGGGGUGCUCGAGUGGCGAACGGGGGAGUAACACGUGAGUAACCUGACCUUGACUUUGGGAUAACUUCAGGAAACUGGGGCUAAUAUCGGAUAGGAGAUCCUGCAGCGUGGGGGGGGUUGGAAAGUUUCGGCGGUUGGGGAUGGACUCGCGGCUUACGAGCUUGUUGGUGGGGUAGUGGCUUACCAAGUCUUUGACGGGUAGCCGGCCUGAGAGGGUGGACGGCGACAUUGCUCCUGCGAGAGGGCGCAGUCUCGUACGUUGGGCAGCAGGCGGGAGUCUUGCACAGCGGGCCGGCGCCUGUUGCGGCGGCGCCGGGUUCGUGAUGACGUCCUUCUGGUUGUGAACCGCUUUCGCCUGUGACGAAGCGUGAGUGACGGUAAUGGGUAAAGAAGCACCGGCUAACUACGUG